UACGUAGGGUGCGAGCGUUGUCCGGAAUUAUUGGGCGUAAAGGGCUCGUAGGCGGUUUGUCGCGUCGGGAGUGAAAUCCACUGGCUUAACUGGUGGCUUGCUUUCGAUACGGGCAGACUGGAGGUAUGCAGGGGAGAACGGAAUUCCUGGUGUAGCGGUGAAAUGCGCAGAUAUUAGGAGGAACACCGGUGGCGAGGGCGGUUCUCUGGGCAUGUCCUGACGCUGAGGAGCGAAAGUGUGGGGAGCGAACAGG
rnacentral:rRNA from 1 species